GACGAACGCUGGCGGCGUGCCUAAUACAUGCAAGUCGAACGCAGUGGGGACGGGUGGGUAACACGUGGGUAACCUCCCAUCAGAGGGGAUAACACUUGGAAACAGGUGCUAAACCGAUACUGAUGGAUGAACCCGGGGUGCAUUAGCUAGUUGGGGAGGUAACGGCUCACCAAGGCCACGAUGCAUAGCCGACCUGAGAGGGUGAUCGGCCACACUGGGACUGAGACACGGCACAGACUCCGACGGGAGGCAGCAGGAGGGAAUCUUAGGGAAUGGACGAAAGUCUGAGCGAGCAACGCCGCGUGAGUGAAGAAGGUUUUCGGAUAGUAAAACUCGGUUGUGAGAGAAGCGGUAUCUAACAAGAAAGCCACGGAUAACUACGUGCCAGCAGCCGCGGUAAUAC
rnacentral:rRNA from 1 species